rnacentral:rRNA from 1 species
GACGAACGCUGGCGGCGUGCUUAACACAUGCAAGUCGAACGGUAAGGCCCUUCGGGGUACACGAGUGGCGAACGGGUGAGUAACACGUGGGUGAUCUGCCCUGCACUUCGGGAUAAGCCUGGGAAACUGGGUCUAAUACCGGAUAGGACCACUGCCUGCAUGGGUGGUGGUGGAAAGCUUUUGCGGUGUGGGAUGGGCCCGCGGCCUAUCAGCUUGUUGGUGGGGUGAUGGCCUACCAAGGCGACGACGGGUAGCCGGCCUGAGAGGGUGACCGGCCACACUGGGACUGAGAUACGGCCCAGACCCCUACGGGAGGCAGCAGUGGGGAAUAUUGCACAAUGGGCGCAAGCCUGAUGCAGCGACGCCGCGUGAGGGAUGACGGCCUUCGGGUUGUAAACCUCUUUCAGCACCGACGAAGCGCAAGUGAUGGUAGGUGCAGAAGAAGGACCGGCCAACUACGUGCCAGCAGCCGCCGUAA